GAUGAACGCUGACAGAAUGCUUAACACAUGCAAGUCAACUUGAAUUUGGGUUUUUAACUUAGGUUUGGGUGGCGGACGGGUGAGUAACGCGUAAAGAACUUGCCUCACAGCUAGGGACAACAUUUGGAAACGAAUGCUAAUACCUAAUAUUAUGAUAAUAGGGCAUCCUAUAAUUAUGAAAGCUAUAAGCGCUGUGAGAGAGCUUUGCGUCCCAUUAGCUAGUUGGAGAGGUAACGGCUCACCAAGGCGAUGAUGGGUAGCCGGCCUGAGAGGGUGAUCGGCCACAAGGGGACUGAGACACGGCCCUUACUCCUACGGGAGGCAGCAGGGGGGAAUAUUGGACAAUGGACCAAGAGUCUGAUCCAGCAAUUCUGUGUGCACGAUGAAGUUUUUCGGAAUGUAAAGUGCUUUCAGUUGGGAAGAAAGAAAUGACGGUACCAACAGAAGAAGUGACGGCUAAAUACGUG
rnacentral:rRNA from 1 species